rnacentral:rRNA from 1 species
UACGAAGGGGGCUAGCGUUGCUCGGAAUCACUGGGCGUAAAGCGCACGUAGGCGGAUCUUUAAGUCAGAGGUGAAAUCCCCGGGCUCAACCUGGGAACUGCAUUUGUGACUGUAGAGCUGGAGUGCGGCAGAGGGGGAUGGAAUUCCGCGUGUAGCAGUGAAAUGCGUAGAUAUGCGGAGGAACACCGAUGGCGAAGGCAAUCCCCCUGGGCCUGCACUGACGCUCAUGCACGAAAGCGUGGGGAGCAAACAGG